AACGAACGCUGGCGGCAUGCCUAACACAUGCAAGUCGAACGAGACCUUCGGGCCUAGUGGCGCACGGGUGCGUAACGCGGGGGAACCUGCCCUUAGGUUCGGAAUAACUCCCCGAAAGGGGUGCUAAUACCGGCUAAUGUCCUCGGACCAAAGAUUUAUCGCCUUUGGAUGGGCCUGCGUUGGAUUAGCUAGUUGGUAGGGUAAAAGCGUACCAAGGCGACGAUCCAUAGCUGGUCUGAGAGGAGGAUCAGCCACACUGGGACUGAGACGCGGCCCAGACUACUACGGGAGGCAGCAGUGGGGAAUAUUGGACAAUGGGCGAAAGCCUGAUCCAGCAAUGCCGCGUGAGUGAUGAAGGCCUUAGGGUUGUAAAGCUCUUUUACCCGGGAUGAUAAUGACAGUACCGGGAGAAUAAGCUCCGGCUAACUCCGUG
rnacentral:rRNA from 1 species